ensembl:lncRNA
UUCUCUCAUGUCUUCCAUUUGCUUUCUUUCUGUCAUGAUGUCAGACCUUAUCUUUUGGAGGUCUUUUCUUUCCUGUUCAAACAUCUUCUUAUCAAUGUCCAUUUCAGUUUUCUCUCGUUCCAGUUCCCUUAUUAUCUGAUCAAGUUCUUCUUUCUCUAUCUUUGCUUUUACUCUCAUUUCUUCUUCUUUCACUUUUUCUUUAAUAAAAUGUUCUUGCAGAGUGUUCAACUCUUGUAAUUGUUGGCUUAUGUCUUGUUGUUCCUGCUCAGCUUUAGUCUUCAGCUCCAUGAUCUUGACUUUGGUCUGUUCUAGACCUUUUCUUUCUUCUUCCAUCUCAUUCUGUUUCAUGAAAUCUUGUUCUUGCAGAGUGUUCAAACAUCUUCUUAUCAUUGUCCAUUUCAGUUUUCUCUCGUUCCAGUUCCCUUAUUAUCUGAUCGAGUUGUUCUCUCUCUAUCUUUGCUUUUACUCUCAUUUCUUCUUCUUUCUCUUUUUCUUUCAUAAUAUGUUCUUGCAGUGUGUUCAACUCUUGAAAUUGUUGGCUUAUGUCAUGUUGUUCCUGCUCAGCUUUAGUCUUCAGCUCCAGGAUCUUGACUUUGGUCUGUUCUAGACCUUUUCUUUCUUCUUCCAUCUCAUUCUGUUUCAUGAAAUCUUGUUCCUUCUGUUGCC